rnacentral:lncRNA from 1 species
AUAACUGUGGGAGAAUAGUAAGCAUUGGACACAAAAUGGUUUAGGCAAAUAAUGAUGAACAAAAAUGGUCAGUCUGUGUUCCUGCUGACCCAGCACAGUGGGGACGCUGUGUAGGACAUGACCUUUGGGGGAAAGGACACAAGAACUCAGCGUGGGGGAUCCAGAAAAGAAGUCGCACGUAUUGAAGCCAGUAACGCCAAGCCAGUGAAUUCUCCUUGACGAGAAAGACCCACUUACUCUGCAGAAGAGAUAUAUGACAGCUGACAAUCCCUGGAGGAGAAUCUUUCUACUAAAUUGGCAUCUAUUCAACGAAGACGAAUCCUGGAAUGGGGAUGGAAAUGAUGGCUCAUGUCUUAGCAAACUACCAAACUGAUCCGAGAGGACAGGGAAGUCAGUGUGGGCGGCUCUAAGGAGCCUCCCUCUCUACAGCUGCGGCUCAGAGGAUUACGGCGCUUCAUCCACAAGGCAACAUUGCACAAGUAGCUUUUGAACAAAAGUCAUGGAUACUAUUAAUGAUAUGGUAAUCCUUAAUCGAGCUACCUCCCAGUAGUGAUUAUACUGACAUGGGAAGAAUAUCUAAGUCGUGGAGGCAGCCCACAACAACACUGUGUCAUUGUUCACCCCGGGCUCGACCAGGACUAACUUUUACCAGCAUCUCUAACGUCACCUUUCCCCUGAUGCCUCCCCACAACCCCUGGCCCCAGCUCCCAUUCCCGCCCCAUCAUAGCAAAAAAGUAGCAAAGAAAACCCUGAUCCUAAAUCUUUUUCUGGAUUUUUUUUUGCAAGUUCCCACACACAUUUAGUGUCGUCUCAAAAUUCACGCUGUCAACUGUCUCUAGGAAUCAUUUCCAUCUGAGAACAGACCACACAAAGGUUAGUUCGGUGGGUCUCAGUGAAGAUGUUUUAAUUGUCUGACAAUAGAUUCUUCCAUCAUUUGACUUGCAAAUACUGUCCUCUUGCUCUCAGAUAACAUGUUCAGAAUUAGACCAUUUGUCAAUAAAUUUCCCAAAACUCCUUA